GGUGGUUUCUUAAGUCGGAUGUGAAAGCCCCCGGCUCAACCUGGGAACUGCAUUGAGAACUGACGAGCUUGAGUGUGGUAGAGGGUGGUGGAAUUUCCUGUGUAGCGGUGAAAUGCGUAGAUAUGUGAAGGAACACCAGUGGCGAAGGCGACUCCCUGGACUGAUACUGACACUGAGGUGCGAAAGCGUGGGGAGCGAACAGGAUUAGAUACCCUGGUAGUCCACGCCGUAAACGAUGUCUGCUAGCCGUUGGGAGCCUUGAGCUCUUAAUGGCUCAGCUAACGCAUUAAGUUGACCGCCUGGGGAGUACGGCCGCCAGGAUAGAACUCAAAUGAAUUGACGGGGGCCCGCACAAGCGGUGGAGCAUGUGGUUUAAUUCCAAGCAACGCGAAAAACCUUACCAGGCCUUGACAUCCAGUGGACUUUCCAGAGAUGGAUUGGUGCCUUCCGGAGCAUUGAGACAGGUGCUGCAUGGCUGUCGUCAGCUCGUGUCGUGAGAUGUUGGGUUAAGUCCCGUAACGAGCGCAACCCUUGUCCUUAGUUACCAGCACAUUAUGGUGGGCACUCUAAGGAGACUGCCGGUGACAAACCGGAGGAAGGUGGGGAUGA
rnacentral:rRNA from 1 species